rnacentral:rRNA from 1 species
CCUACGGGAGGCAGCAGUGGGGAAUAUUGGGCAAUGGCCGGAAGGCUGAACCAGCCAUGCCGCGUGAAGGUCAGUGCCCUAUGGGCGUUAAACUUCUUUUGUGCGGGAGCAAUAAUGGUCACGUGUGGCCAGACGAGAGUACCGUACGAAUAAGCAUCGGCUAACUCCGUGCCAGCAGCCGCGGUAAUACGGGGGAUGCAAGCGUUUACCGGAUUUAUUGGGUUUAAUGGGUGUGUAUGGUGGGAGGUAAGUCAGCGGUGAAAUGCCCCCGUUCAACGGGGUGAAGUGCCAUUGAUACUGGCUUGCUGGAGUGCGGAUGCGGUGGGAGGAAUGUGUGGUGUAGCGGUGAAAUGCAUAGAUAUCACACAGAACACCGAUUGCGAAGGCAGCUCACGAAUCCGCGAUUGACGCUGAUGCACGAAAGCGUGGGUAUCAAACAGGAUUAGAUACCCCAGUAGUC